rnacentral:rRNA from 1 species
GAUGAACGCUAGCUACAGGCUUAACACAUGCAAGUCGAGGGGCAGCAUGAACUUAGCUUGCUAAGUUUGAUGGCGACCGGCGCACGGGUGAGUAACACGUAUCCAACCUUCCGUUUACUCAGGGAUAGCCUUUCGAAAGAAAGAUUAAUACCUGAUAGUAUGGUGAGAUUGCAUGAUAACACCAUUAAAGAUUUAUUGGUAAACGAUGGGGAUGCGUUCCAUUAGGUAGUAGGCGGGGUAACGGCCCACCUAGCCUGCGAUGGAUAGGGGUUCCGAGAGGAAGGUCCCCCACAUUGGAACUGAGACACGGUCCAGACCUCCUACGGGAGGCAGCAGUAGGGAAUAUUGGGCAAUGGGCGCAAGCCUGACCCAGCAACGCCGCGUGAGGGAAGAAGGUUUUCGGAUUGUAAACCUCUGUCCUAUGUGACGAAGGAGUGACGGUAGCA